GACGAACGCUGGCGGCGUGCUUAAUACAUGCAAGUCGAGCGAGGCCCAUCCAGUGGCAACACUGGGAAGGCCGAGCGGCGAACGGGUGAGUAACACGUGAGCAACCUCGCCCCGAAGUCUGGAAUAACAUCGGGAAACCGGUGCUAAUACCGGAUUGCCCCACCUGACCGCAUGAUCGGGUGAGGAAAGAUUUAUCGCUUCGGGAGGGGCUCGCGGCCUAUCAGCUAGUUGGCGGGGUAACGGCCCACCAAGGCGUCGACGGGUAGCUGGUCUGAGAGGACGACCAGCCACACUGGGACUGAGACACGGCCCAGACUCCUACGGGAGGCAGCAGUAGGGAAUCUUGC
rnacentral:rRNA from 1 species